AUUGAACGCUGGCGGCAUGCCUUACACACGCAAGUCGGACGGUAACAGGCCUUCGGAUGCUGACGAGUGGCGAACGGGUGAGUAAUACAUCGGAACGUGCCCGAUCGUGGGGGAUAACGAAGCGAAAGCUUUGCUAAUACCGCAUAAGAUCUACGGAUGAAAGCAGGGGACCGCAAGGCCUUGCGCGAACGGAGCGGCCGAUGGCAGAUUAGGUAGUUGGGGGGAUAAAAGCUUACCAAGCCGACGAUCUGUAGCUGGUCUGAGAGGACGACCAGCCACACUGGGACUGAGACACGGCCCAGACGCCUACGGGAGGCAGCAGUGGGGAAUUUUGGACAAUGGGCGAAAGCCUGAUCCAGCCAUGCCGCGUGCAGGAUGAAGGCCUUCGGGUUGUAAACUGCUUUUGUACGGAACGAAAAGACUCUUUCUAAUAAAGGGGGUCCAUGACGGUACCGUAAGAAUAAGCACCGGCUAACUACGUGCCAGCCGCCGCCGUAA
rnacentral:rRNA from 1 species